GCUGGUUUACCAGUCCGAGUUGUAGUUUAAAGAAGCGUUUUCGGUGGCAGUCUCGGUAUAAAUCCUUUGGAAUAGGGUAUCAUAGAGGGUGAGAAUCCCGUCUUUGACUGAGAAUAUGCUACUAUGUGAUACGUUUUCAAAGAGUCGAGUUGUUUGGGAAUGCAGCUCAAAAUGGGUGGUAAAUUUCAUCUAAAGCUAAAUAUUGGCGAGAGACCGAUAGCGAACAAGUACCGUGAGGGAAAGAUGAAAAGAACUUUGAAAAGAGAGUUAAACAGUGCGUGAAAUUGUUGAAAGGGAAACGCUUGAAACCAGUCAUGCGGUUGGGAAAUCAGUCUCUGGCGAGGGGGAAUGGGGGAGGUGUGGACCGCAAGGCCGCUCUUUUCUAUAUUCUUUUCGUCAGGGAUGCACUUUUUCUUCUGCAGGUCAACAUCAGUUUGCUUUGCCGGACAAAACUCUUGGGAAGGUGACAGCUUAGGCUGUGUUAUAGCCCUUGAGCGAUACGGUGGAGUGGACUGAGGUUUUCGCAGCAUGUGCUCUCGGGCAAGGCUGAUUGGGUGCUAUGAGAUCGUUCAGGGUACAAUACAUGUAUUUUGCCUUGUGUCUUUUUUAUACUCGCUCAACUCGGCUCUUCCAUGCUUAGGAUGUUGACAUAAUGGUUUUAAUCGACCCGUCUUGAAACACGGACCAAGGAGUCUAACAUAUAUGCAAGUGUUUGGGUGGCAAACCCAUGCGCGUAAUGAAAGUGAACGUAGGUGCGAUCCGCAAGGUGCAGCAUCGACCGAUCUUGAUAUUUUUGGAUAGAUUUGAGUAAGAGCAUAUAUGCUGGGACCCGAAAGAUGGUGAACUAUGCCUGAAUAGGGUGAAGCCAGAGGAAACUCUGGUGGAGGCUCGUAGCGAUUCUGACGUGCAAAUCGAUCGUCAAAUUUGGGUAUAGGGGCGAAAGACUAAUCGAACCAUCUAGUGUGCC
rnacentral:rRNA from 1 species